CUUGGGAGCAAAUUCACUUGGAGGACCAAAUAAGAGAAACCACUGUAUACAAGUUAUUAGAGUUUUUUAAGAUAACUUCUCAUUAGAUGAAUAUUCAAGUUAUCUUUAAUUGUGGUCCCUCCAGCUUUGUAAUUUUGUUCAGAAUUGUCUUAACCAUCUAGAAAAAGGAUUUAACUAUGCUACUACACUAGUCACAUGGAGGUUAAAAGGACAAGGUCAUAAAGAGAACAAAGUUCCUAUUUCUUUCUUCCAUGCAGUGUUGUAGCAGGGAAGUGGACUCAGUGGACCGUGACUCGGAGCUCCAGACGUGACUCAGCAGUCACAGAGAGUGAUGCAUGAGGAAAGCAGCCACUAUGAACCUUCACAAACUUAGAGGAGAAUUUCAAGAGUAUCUGCCAAGUCAGUAAGAAAACCAAAUCUUCUGAUUUUCCCCAGAGAUGAGUAAUUGGACUCAGAGAAGAAAAGUAACAUUGGUGACAUGUGUAACCAGGAUUCACUCACACCCCCGCCUGUCAUCUCCAAAAGGUGUCUGACCUUUCUGCAGUUAAGUAACCCUUAUCUAAAACGCUUGGGACCAGAAGAGUUUUGGAUUUUGAACUUUUUUAAGAUUUUGGAAUAUUUGCACACACAUAGUGAGGUAUCUUGGAGCUGGGACCCAGUUCUUAACACAAAAUGUAUCUAUGUUUUGCAUGCAUCUUGUAUACACAGUCUGGAGAUAAUAUUAUAUGAUAUUUUCAAUAAUUCUGUGCAUGAAACAAAAUUUUGUUUGUGUUUUUACUGUGAUCCAAGUGAGGUCACGUGUGGAAUUUUCCACCUGCGGUAUCAGGUUAAAUCUCAAAACUUUUGGAUUUGGGAGCAUUUUGGAUUUGAGUUUUUAGGAUUAGGAAUGUUCAACCUGUAUUACCCUUUUUGUAUAUGGCCUUUUCUACUCCCACCUCACAAGAUACGAUUGGUUCAGGAAAUUUUGCAAGAUAUUAACGAUGGCUUAUUGUAUUUUAAUAGGUAGAUGGCCAAAACUUGUUUUAUGCUUCAAUUUGAUAAGAUUAGUUUCUAAGAGAAAAAGAACUUUGCUGUACUUUUUUACUGUGAAAGAAUGAGUUGAGGGAUAAGCUAUCACACAUAACUCUGUUUUCUCCAAGUUGCAGGAGGUUGAGGGGGAGAAUCCAGAGGCUGUGGAUGACAGUUGCAACACAGUCAAAGUGAUCAUUCAAUUCUGACACCAUACAAAACUAACACUGUGAUCUCAGGAGUAUACCCUCUUCCCUUGUCCCAUUUAGAUCAGUCAGGGUCUGGUCAGAAAAAAAGAAGCCACUCUAAGUAUAUAGAGUAAGAAAUGGUUUAAUAUAGGAAUUAAAGGCUGGGCAAGUAAAGCUCAGGAAGACCCCUUUUAGGAAACUUUAAAGUACAGUUCUUGUUCUAUAACCAAUUGUUUCAGUUGCUGGGAGCACUGACUUGGUGAUUCUUAGGAGGACACCCAAAAGCAGUGAGAAAAUUCCACACUGCUUCUACUCUCCCAGUAGCUGCUAUGCAGAACAAUGGCUUCCCCUUCCCUUCUACCUUCUAAAUCUCAUGCAAUUUCUUCUUAUUGGUGGAAUCUAUUUGGGAUCCUGUUUGCAAUGGAGGAUAGAAAUUGUAAUUUCUAGACUUCAUGCUCCUGGGGACAGGGAAAAGUAUAGAAUAACAGACAUGAUACUGAGUACUAACAAAUUAUAUGUGGUACACUGUGUCUAUUUGCUCACCAUUAUUGGUAAAAACUCACAAAUAUAUGUUGAUUGAAUUAAUGGAUGCAGAAGGGUCCCAGUUCUGGAACAGGAUUUCUUGCUGGGAAUCAAGAUUUCUCUGCACCGUCAUUCAGUGAUGCCAUGUGCUCCAGGCCCUGAUGGCACUCUGAAGCCCUUAAUGGCCUGCUGCUGACUUGACUGUAGAAGAAGCAGAGGUGUGUUUCCCACCUCUCACUGAGGUGGGCCAUGUCACUGCCUCAGGUGCUGCCGAUGUACAUGUAAACCCAACCACAUCACUCUGCUGUUUCAAAUAACACUUCGGUCGCUUUCUAUUGACUUUAGAAUAAAAUCUGAACUUUUUUCCAUGA